AGCAGCCGCGGUAAUUCCAGCUCCAAUAGCGUAUAUUAAAGUUGUUGCAGUUAAAAGCUCGUAGUUGAAUUUCGGGGUUAGCAGGUCGGUCGUGCCAUCGGUAUGAACUGGUCUCGCUGAUCCCUCCCUCUUGACGAACUGUGAUGCCAUUAAUUUGGUGUCGCAGGGAAUCAGGACUGUUACUUUGAAAAAUUAGAGUGUUUAAAGCGGGCUCACGCUUGAAUACAUUAGCAUGGAAUAAUGAAAUAGGACGUUUGAUCCUAUUUUGUUGGCUUCUAGGAUUGACGUAAUGAUUAAUAGGGAUAGUUGGGGGCAUUAGUAUUCAAUUGUCAGAGGUGAAAUUCUUGGAUUUAUUGAAGACUAACUACUGCGAAAGCAUUUGCCAAGGAUGUUUUCAUUAAUCAAGAACGAAAGUUAGGGAUCGAAGACGAUCAGAUACCGUCGUAGUCUUAACCAUAAACUAUGCCGACUAGGGAUCGGAUGAUGUUAAUUUUUAAUGUA
rnacentral:misc_RNA from 1 species